UAGGAGUGGGUGACCUUUCCACCGCACCUACGCAAAAAAUCGGACCGAAGAGAAGGAAGACGAGCAAUAAGCAGCGGCUGUCCAGGCCAGAGCCCAGAGAUACUCAGAUCCUGCCGACACUUCGUCGUCAAGCUCUCGCCAUCUCCCCCCUUCCUUCGUUCCUUCCUUCCUCCGCCGACCUCGAGGGAACCUGCAAGUCCUCGCCCGAGCUUCUCCCGGAUCUGCCCUCGGAAUGGAUAGGGAAGCCAAGAAAGAAGCCUUCAGGAAGUAUCUUGAAUCCAGUGGUGUGCUAGAUACCCUCACCAAAGUUCUUGUUGCCUUGUACGAGGAGAACGAUAAGCCUUCGUCGGCAGUCGAGUUUGUUCAGCAAAAACUGGGUGGCCCAUCAAUUUCUGACUAUGAAAAGCUGAAGGCAGAGAAGUUGGAUUUGCAAUUGAAGUAUAAUGAGCUUUUAGAUACCCACAAGGAAACAUGCAGACAGCUGGAGGAACUUAAGAAUAUGAAGUAUGGUGCACCCUGGAACUGAAACGAUGGGUGUUGACAUUAUAAAUGUGUCGUGAAGCAUGUACUUUUAUGCCUGUCUGAAGCAUUGCCGAGCUGUAUACAAUCAAAACAUCUAUUGAUAAAUUCAUCUCCACUCCGCAAUCAUCGGUGCAGGAUCAAAACUUCUUCUCUUUGGUGUUCCCGGCGUGAUGGGCCGAAGUGGGCCCCCCCAAAGGCCCCGCUUUGGGUCCUGUCCCGGUUCCUGCUGGCACAUCGAGCUUCAUCAUCCCGCUUCGCGUGGUGAGGCGGACGCUGUGCGAUCGUGGCAGGUCCUGUGCGUCGUGGUCGUGGCGGUUGUCCCGUUCGUCAACUCCUAUAGCAGAGGAGGGCCUGCGACAUGUGUCACUGUGGCGCACGUGGGUUCGGUACGCCACCGCCUGGCCAGUGGCCGCCGCUAGGUGGUCAGGCCGGCGCUCUCCGACCACCUUCCAAAAGGUCGGUAGGCCUCCUCCGGUCGGGGCCUGACCCUCGGCUCCCUUCGGUGGGGCCUACACUGAAUUUCAUUUGGAAAAACAUUUUACGUUCUUAUUUACCCUUCAUAGUUGUUUUUUUGUAUGGCUA